GCAGGGCGUGUCGCAGUACGAUUGAUCGAAAUGCCACGCCCUUGAGCCGAGCCGUCCGAAUGUAUUGUGCUGUCAUGACUUCGGUCAUGGAUGCCCGCGUCAUGCGCGCGAUGUACCCCAUGCCGUAAAGUGAGAUGGUCAUCACGGGUAAAAAGAAAUUCCAGAAAUUGGC
rnacentral:ncRNA from 1 species